rnacentral:tRNA from 1 species
GUCAGGAUGGCCGAGCGGUCUAAGGCGCUGCGUUCAGGUCGCAGUCUCCAAUGGAGGCGUGAAUUCAAAUCCCACUUCUGACA